rnacentral:siRNA from 1 species
GAAAUCACGAUUGUUGGUGCUGC